GACGAACGCUGGCGGCGUGCUUAACACAUGCAAGUCGAACGGAAAGGCCCUGCUUUUGUGGGGUGCUCGAGUGGCGAACGGGUGAGUAACACGUGAGUAACCUGCCCUUGACUUUGGGAUAACUUCAGGAAACUGGGGCUAAUACCGGAUAGGAGCUCCUGCUGCAUGGUGGGGGUUGGAAAGUUUCGGCGGUUGGGGAUGGACUCGCGGCUUAUCAGCUUGUUGGUGGGGUAGUGGCUUACCAAGGCUUUGACGGGUAGCCGGCCUGAGAGGGUGACCGGCCACAUUGGGACUGAGGUACGGCCCAGACUGCUACGGGAGACAGCAGUGGGGAAUAUUGCACAAUGGGCGGAAGCCUGAUGCAGCAACGCCGCGUGCGGGAUGACGGCCUUCGGGUUGUAAACCGCUUUCGCCUGUGACGAAGCGUGAGUGACGGUAAUGGGUAAAGAAGCACCGGCUAACUACGUG
rnacentral:rRNA from 1 species